rnacentral:rRNA from 1 species
GACGAACGCUGGCGGCGUGCUUAACACAUGCAAGUCGAACGGAAAGGCCCUGCUUUUGUGGGGUGCUCGAGUGGCGAACGGGUGAGUAACACGUGAGUAACCUGCCCUUGACUUUGGGAUAACUUCAGGAAACUGGGGCUAAUACCGGAUAGGAGCUCCUGCUGCAUGGUGGGGGUUGGAAAGUUUCGGCGGUUGGGGAUGGACUCGCGGCUUAUCAGCUUGUUGGUGGGGUAGUGGCUUACCAAGGCUUUGACGGGUAGCCGGCCUGAGAGGGUGACCGGCCACAUGGGGACUAAGAGACGGCGCAGACUCCUACGGGAGGCAGCAGUGGGGAAUAUGGCACAAUGGGCGGAAGCCUGAUGCAGCAACGCCGCGGGCGGGAUGACGGCCUUCGGGUUGUAAACCGCUGUCGCCUGUGACGAAGCGGGAGUGACGGUAAUGGGUAAAGAAGCACCGGCUAACUACGUG